GACGAACGCUGGCGGCGUGCUUAACACAUGCAAGUCGAGCGGUAAGGCUCCUUCGGGAGUACACGAGCGGCGAACGGGUGAGUAACACGUGAGUAACCUGCCCCAAUCAUCGGGAUAACCAUUGGAAACGAUGGCUAAUACCGAAUACGACCACCGAAGGCAUCUUCUGGUGGUGGAAAGCUCCGGCGGAUUGGGAUGGACUCGCGGCCUAUCAGCUUGUUGGUGAGGUAAUGGCUCACCAAGGCAACGACGGGUAGCCGGCCUGAGAGGGUGACCGGCCACACUGGGACUGAGACACGGCCCAGACUCCUACGGGAGGCAGCAGUGGGGAAUAUUGGACAAUGGGCGCAAGCCUGAUCCAGCAACGCCGCGUGAGGGAUGACGGCCUUCGGGUUGUAAACCUCUUUCAGUAGGGACGAAGCGAAAGUGACGGUACCUACAGAAGAAGGACCGGCCAACUACGUG
rnacentral:rRNA from 1 species